UCCCUGGUGGUCCAGUGGCUAAGACUCCACGCUCUUGAUGCAGGAGGCCUAGGUUCGAUCCCUAGUUUGGGAA
rfam:TPA: Bos taurus chromosome 1, whole genome shotgun sequence.